rnacentral:rRNA from 1 species
GAUGAACGCUGGCGGCGUGCCUAAUACAUGCAAGUCGAGCGAACGGACGAGAAGCUUGCUUCUCUGAUGUUAGCGGCGGACGGGUGAGUAACACGUGGAUAACCUACCUAUAAGACUGGGAUAACUUCGGGAAACCGGAGCUAAUACCGGAUAAUAUUUUGAACCGCAUGGUUCAAAAGUAAAAGACGGUCUUGCUGUCACUUAUAGAUGGAUCCGCGCUGCAUUAGCUAGUUGGUAAGGUAACGGCUUACCAAGGCAACGAUGCAUAGCCGACCUGAGAGGGUGAUCGGCCACACUGGAACUGAGACACGGUCCAGACUACUACGGGAGGCAGCAGUAGGGAAUCUUCCGCAAUGGGCGAAGGCCUGACGGAGCAACGCCGCGUGAGUGAUGAAGGUCUUCGGAUCGUAAAACUCUGUUAUUAGGGAAGAACAUAUGUGUAAGUAACUGUGCACAUCUUGACGGUACCUAAUCAGAAAGCCACGGCUAACUACGUG